AACGAACGCUGGCGGCAGGCUUAACACAUGCAAGUCGAGCGCCCCGCAAGGGGAGCGGCAGACGGGUGAGUAACGCGUGGGAACGUACCUUUUGGUUCGGAACAACUCCGGGAAACUGGAGCUAAUACCGGAUAAGCCCUAACGGGGAAAGAUUUAUCGCCGAAAGAUCGGCCCGCGUCUGAUUAGCUAGUUGGUGAGGUAACGGCUCACCAAGGCGACGAUCAGUAGCUGGUCUGAGAGGAUGAUCAGCCACACUGGGACUGAGACACGGCCCAGACUCCUACGGGAGGCAGCAGUGGGGAAUAUUGGACAAUGGGCGCAAGGCUGAUCCAGCCAUGCCGCGUGAGUGAUGAAGGCCUUAGGGUUGUAAAGCUCUUUUGCCCGGGAAGAUAAUGACUGUACCGGAAGAAUAAGCCCCGGCUAACUUCGUG
rnacentral:rRNA from 1 species